rnacentral:rRNA from 1 species
AACGAACGCUGGCGGCAUGCCUAACACAUGCAAGUCGAACGAGACCUUCGGGUCUAGUGGCGCACGGGUGCGUAACGCGUGGGAACCUGCCCUUAGGUUCGGCAUAACUCUCCGAAAGGGGUGCUAAUACCGGAUAAUGUCUUCGGACCAAAGAUUUAUCGACUUUGGUUGGGCCCGCGUUGGAUUAGCUAGUUGGUAGGGUAAAAGCCUACCAAGGCGCCGAUCCAUAGCUGGUCUGAGAGGAUGAUCAGCCACACUGGGACUGAGACACGGCCCAGACUCCUACGGGAGGCAGCAGUGGGGAAUAGUGGACAGUGGGCGGAAGGCUGAUCCAGCAAGGCCGCGUGAGUGAUGAAGGCCUUAGGGUUGUAAAGCUCUUUUACCCGGGAUGAUAAUGACGGUACCGGGAGAAUAAGCUCCGGCUAACUCCGUG